GACGAACGCUGGCGGCGUGCUUAACACAUGCAAGUCGAACGGAAAGGCCCUGCUUUUGUGGGGUGCUCGAGUGGCGAACGGGUGAGUAACACGUGAGUAACCUGUCCUUGACUUUGGGAUAACUUCAGGAAACUGGGGCUAAUACCGGAUAGGAGCUCCUGCUGCAUGGUGGGGGUUGGAAAGUUUCGGCGGUUGGGGAUGGACUCGCGGCUUAUCAGCUUGUUGGUGGGGUAGUGGCUUACCAAGGCUUUGACGGGUAGCCGGCCUGAGAGGGUGACCGGCCACAUUGGGACUGAGCUACGGCCCAGACUCCAAUGGGAGGCAGCAGUGGAGAAUAUUACACAAUGGGCGGAAGCCUGAUGCAGCAACGCCGCGUGCGGGAUGACGGCCUUGGGGUUGUGAACCGCUUUCGCCUGUGCCGAAGCGUGAGUGACGGUACUGGGUAAAGAAGCACCGGCUAACUACGUG
rnacentral:rRNA from 1 species